GACGAACGCUGGCGGCGUGCUUAACACAUGCAAGUCGAACGGAAAGGCCCUGCUUUUGUGGGGUGCUCGAGUGGCGAACGGGUGAGUAACACGUGAGUAACCUGCCCUUGACUUUGGGAUAACUUCAGGAAACUGGGGCUAAUACCGGAUAGGAGCUCCUGCUGCAUGGUGGGGUUGGAAAGUUUCGGCGGUUGGGGAUGGACUCGCGGCUUAUCAGCUUGUUGGUGGGGUAGUGGCUUACCAAGGCUUUGACGGGUAGCCGGCCUGAGAGGGUGACCGGCCACAUUGGGACUGAGAUACGGCCCAGACUCCUACGGGAGGCAGCAGUGGGGAAUAUUGCACAAUGGGCGGAAGCCUGAUGCAGCAACGCCGCGUGCGGGAUGACGGCCUUCGGGUUGUAAACCGCUUUCGCCUGUGACGAAGCGUGAGUGACGGUAAUGGGGAAAGAAGCACCGGCUAACUACGG
rnacentral:rRNA from 1 species